GUGGCGGACGGGUGAGUAACGCGUGGGAAUCUACCCAGUAGUGGAGGACAGCCAGGAGAAAUCCUGAUUAAUACUGCAUACGAUCUACGGAUGAAAGAUGGCCUCUAUUUAUAAGCUAUCGCUAUUGGAUGAGCCCGCGUUAGAUUAGCUAGUUGGUGGGGUAAGAGCCUACCAAGGCGACGAUCUAUAGCUGGUCUGAGAGGACGACCAGCCACAUCGGGACUGAGACACGGCCCGGACUCCUACGGGAGGCAGCAGUGGGGAAUAUUGGACAAUGGGCGCAAGCCUGAUCCAGCAAUGCCGCGUGUGUGAAGAAGGCCCUAGGGUUGUAAAGCACUUUCAAUUGUGAAGAAGAGUAUAAGAUUAAUACUCUUGUACUUUGACGUUAACUUUAGAAGAAGCACCGGCUAACUCUGUGCCAGCAGCCGCGGUAAUACAGAGGGUGCAAGCGUUAAUCGGAAUUACUGGGCGUAAAGCGCGCGUAGGCGGUUAUUUAAGUCAGAUGUGAAAUCCCAGGGCUCAACCUUGGAACUGCAUCUGAUACUGAGUAACUAGAGUUUGGGAGAGGGAAGUAGAAUUUCAGGUGUAGCGGUGAAAU
rnacentral:rRNA from 1 species